rnacentral:lncRNA from 1 species
GAACUUUCAUCAGAUUUUCAAAAAUGCCUGUGACACACAAAAAAGGAUAGGAACCACUGACAUAGUAAAUCAUCAACAAGUUUACUGGAAAUUUUUGCUUGCCAGGUAGACUGCCUAAUGAAGCAGAAGGUCAUGAGAAAGUCAUUCUCCUUCUCUGACUUGCGUCUCCCUGGAGAACUACUGCCGGUAGCUACUGGGACCUCCUUCCCUAGGACUGGCACUGAGUGUCCCUGGAUCCAGCCCCGAAUGAGCUUUCUCUGGUUAUGGCAUGGAGGAGGGACUGGAGGGCAUUGAGACGGGACUGGCCGGGACACUGGCACAAUAGCCCAGGUGACAAAGGACGAAGGACAAAACAAGGAAGACCCUGACACAGGGCGAGUGAUGGACGGACUCUGAGAAUGAAGAAUAGUUGGGACCUGUCUGCUGAUGGACCAGAGGUGAGACAGGAGCCUGCAUUGCUUCUGUGUGUUCACGCCACGUAAGGGAGAGCAUGGGGAUUGCAGAGCCCCCCCUGCACCCCCCCCCAAGCCUGAGCAGUGGUUCAAAGUCAUCAAAUCUCAGUGUUCAUUAAACUUAUUCGGAAUUUCUUCUAUGGCAAUAGAAGGAUGAGUGCACCUGUUCCCUGGAGCUUUUGUAGGGACUGGUGGAUUGGUAUAUAUGAAAGCACCUAGGAUGUGUUAGCACGGGGUUCCCAGGUAAUGUUAAUUUCAUCCAUCCAGCUAUUUAUUCAAAUCCAUGCAAAUUUGGAAGGAAAUAAUUAGUCCCUUCAGGACCGUGUCAAACAUUUCAAAUUCAUUUCGGGUGAAGAGAUGACGGCCGAGGUGUCUCUGUGGGGUCAGCCCACUCCUGGUCACUGGGCUGGGCCACAGUUCAAGGCCCGAAACUUGUUUCUGGCAGCAUCAGGUCCCUUUCUUUCCCUUCCUUUCAUUACCACCCUCCCUCCCCCCGCCCCAGGCAGUCUACUUCUAGGUCUCUAGUGUAGAAAAUGACAGAAAGAAAGUCAAAAAGAAAGAAAGGCAGGAAGACAGGCAGGAAGGAAGGAAGGGAGGAAGCAAAGAAAGGCAGAAGGAAAACGAGCAU